UACGAAGGGUGCAAGCGUUACUCGGAAUUACUGGGCGUAAAGCGUGCGUAGGUGGUUUGUUAAGUCUGUUGUGAAAGCCCCGGGCUCAACCUGGGAAUGGCAAUGGAUACUGGCAAGCUAGAGUGCGGUAGAGGGUAGUGGAAUUCCCGGUGUAGCGGUGAAAUGCGUAGAGAUCGGGAGGAACACCUGCGGCGAAGGCGGGUUGCUGGGCCGACACUGACGCUGAUGCGCGAAAGCCAGGGGAGCGAACGGG
rnacentral:rRNA from 1 species